rnacentral:rRNA from 1 species
UGCCUAAUACAUGCAAGUCGAACGAUCCCUUCGGGGAUAGUGGCGCACGGGUGCGUAACGCGUGGGAAUCUGCCCUUGGGUUCGGAAUAACUUCUGGAAACGGAAGCUAAUACCGGAUGAUGACGUAAGUCCAAAGAUUUAUCGCCCAAGGAUGAGCCCGCGUAGGAUUAGCUAGUUGGUGAGGUAAAGGCUCACCAAGGCGACGAUCCUUAGCUGGUCUGAGAGGAUGAUCAGCCACACUGGGACUGAGACACGGCCCAGACUCCUACGGGAGGCAGCAGUAGGGAAUAUUGGACAAUGGGGGAAACCCUGAUCCAGCAAUGCCGCGUGAGUGAUGAAGGCCUUAGGGUUGUAAAGCUCUUUUACCCGGGAUGAUAAUGACAGUACCGGGAGAAUAAGCUCCGGCUAACUCCGUGCCAGCAGCCGCGGUAAUACGGAGGGAGCUAGCGUUGUUCGGAAUUACUGGGCGUAAAGCGCACGUAGGCGGCUAUUCAAGUCAGAGGUGAAAGCCCGGGGCUCAACCCCGGAACUGCCUUUGAAACUAGAUAGCUUGAAUCCAGGAGAGGUGAGUGGAAUUCCGAGUGUAGAGGUGAAAUUCGUAGAUAUUCGGAAGAACACCAGUGGCGAAGGCGGCUCACUG